GACCAAGGAGUCUAACAUGUGCGCGAGUCACUGGUACAAGAGAAGAACCAGAGGCGAAGUGAAAGCGGGGCGGGGUGACUCGUCACCCCGCUCUGGGAGGAUGGCGUCCUACUCGUAGGCGCCCGCACUCCCGGGGCGCCUCGGGAUUUAUUCCGCAGGCGCACCCGGAGCGUACACGUUGGGACCCGAAAGAUGGUGAACUAUGCCUGGUCAGGACGAAGUCAGGGGAAACCCUGAUGGAGGUCCGCAGCGAUUCUGACGUGCAAAUCGAUCGUCAGAGCUGGGUAUAGGGGCGAAAGACUAAUCGAACCAUCUAGUAGCUGGUUCCCUCCGAAGUUUCCCUCAGGAUAGCUGGCGUCCGUUUGGAUUUGUGUCUAACGAGUCUCAUCCGGUAAAGCGAAUGAUUAGAGGCCUUGGGGCCGAAACGACCUCAACCUAUUCUCAAACUUUAAAUGGGUGAGAUCUCCGGCUUGCUUGACUGAAGCCGCGAGGUCUGGAUCAGGGUGCCAAGUGGGCCAUUUUU
rnacentral:rRNA from 1 species